rnacentral:rRNA from 1 species
CUAGCUGUAAACGAUGGAUACUAGGCGUUGAGAGUAUCGACCCUCUCAGUGUCGUAGCUAACGCGUUAAGUACCCCGCCUGGGGAGUACGCGCGCAAGCGUGAAACUCAAAGGAAUUGACGGGGGCCCGCACAAGCGGUGGAGUAUGUGGUUUAAUUCGAUGCAACGCGAAGAACCUUACCAGGGCUUGACAUGUCCGGAACCCUGCCCAAAGGCGGGGGUGCCUACGGGAACCGGAACACAGGUGGUGC